AUUGAACGCUGGCGGAAUGCUUUACACAUGCAAGUCGAACGGUAGAGGGGGCAACCCCUCGAGAGUGGCGAACGGGUGAGUAAUAUAUCGGAACGUGCCCAGUCGUGGGGGAUAACGUAGCGAAAGUUACGCUAAUACCGCAUACGAUCUAAGGAUGAAAGCGGGGGAGCGCAAGACCUCGCGCGAUCGGAGCGGCCGAUAUCAGCUUGGGUAGUUGGUGGGGUAAAGGCUCACCAAGCCAACGAUCUGUAGCUGGUCUGAGAGGACGACCAGCCACACUGGAACUGAGACACGGUCCAGACUCCUACGGGAGGCAGCAGUGGGGAAUUUUGGACAAUGGACGCAAGUCUGAUCCAGCCAUUCCGCGUGCAGGAUGAAGGCCCUCGGGUUGUAAACUGCUUUUGUACGGAACGAAAAGGUCUCUCUUAAUACGGGGGACUCAUGACGGUACCGUAAGAAUAAGCACCGGCUAACUACGUGCCAGCCGCCGCGGUAAUAC
rnacentral:rRNA from 1 species